AUUCCAAGUUUUUUUAACAAUUAUAAUUACUUCAUGGUGUCUUGUAUCAUGGAAAAGUGUCUCAGCCGUCUACCUACAUGCGUUUGAAAUGCGAAAGGCAUGCACAUUUUCACACAUCGCUGUCAAGGUAUUCCCAUCAAACGGACAAACUAUUCCAUCUAUCCGAGAUACGGCGUGCUCAGCAGGCACUAGACGCGCCGCACAUACAUCCGUCAGUGACCCCCAACUCACACGCCAUCGUCCGCCGGCCUCGGUCAGCGUGUCGGGUCGUCUGGUGGCUGCACAAACACGCCCGGGCAGAGCUGUCUCCGAACGCUCGAAUUAGCCGCCUCUGCGGACGCGAACAGUUGCGCGCGUGCCAAAUGUAAGACAACACCCCGGCCCUGCCGGCGGGCGGUGAAGUGAUCGAGCCCGAUGCCAAACCGUCGCUGGAGCCACUACACUGGAGCCGCCGCCGCCGCCGUCGUCGGGCGGCGAGUCUGCGCAGUAGCCGGCCGGCGGCGAGUCUGCGUCCAGUCGCGCGGUCGCACAGCCGUCCCAGAGCGCCGCUCCGCGACACGCCCGCUGCCGCCACCGCCACAACAUGGCCGACAAAAAGGACGAGAUCCGCGCCAACAUCGAGGGCAAGGACCUGCUGGGCACCUACGGCAUCUUGGUGGCGUUCCUGCUAUUCAUCUACGUGCUCUACAACGUCAUCUACUGAUGAUGCCAUCCAGGCUGGCGCGCGAAGACGCGUCGAUGGACACAGGUGGUGCGGCCGGCCGACCGCGCCCCCGUCCGGCCCGGUGACCGACACCUGACGGCCGGCCGCCGCCGGAGCCCGCCGCCCGAGUACACCCGGAGGACGCCCGCCGGCGCCCCGCGGCGCCCGCCGCCGGCCGGGGGCGCCGCACGCCGCGCACCCGCUCCUCCCCGCCGCCGCCGACCGGAGGCGGGCUGCACCACCCGGCCCCUCCCCUCCCCCCACCCCUCCAUCAAUGCACACGUGCCGGCGGCGCCAGUCGCCGGACUGGUGCGUAUGCCGGCGCCCGGGCGCUGGGCGCGAGCGCGGACCGCCGCCGCGCGCCCCUCCAGCGGUUUGUCCCGGAGCUGGGCCGGAGUAUGGCUGAGUGGUAAUGUUUUAUAUGUACUGCAGACGUAGUGUCUGCAGAGUGAGUAGGCCAGCUUUACACGUAUUUGUGUAGAAAGCAUGUUGUUUGGGAACUAUGUAUCUUGUUCGCGUUUUUGUACGUGUUUGUAUACCUAAUCCUACACAUCAUAAUCAGUAUGAUGAAUACUGCUUCAAAUUACUCAGUUAGAUCCCUUCAAAGUACAGAAGUUAAAUGUACCUACUAUGUUUUUGAAACAUAUACUUCCAUAUAUUUUUGCUCCAAAAAUACAAUAUAUGUGGAUCCCAUGUCAGGUGAUCGAUGGUUGUUAAGAAUAUUGCAUCUUGACAUCAACUAUAUUCCUAGUUGUUGAAAAAUAAAUGCGUAGAAUGUU